rnacentral:rRNA from 1 species
CGGACGGGUGAGUAAUGUCUGGGAAACUGCCUGAUGGAGGGGGAUAACUACUGGAAACGGUAGCUAAUACCGCAUAACGUCGCAAGACCAAAGAGGGGGACCUUAGGGCCUCUUGCCAUCGGAUGUGCCAGAUGGGAUUAGCUAGUAGGUGGGGUAACGGCUCACCUAGGCGACGAUCCCUAGCUGGUCUGAGAGGAUGACCAGCCACACUGGAACUGAGACACGGUCCAG